CAAUAGCGUAUAUUAAAAUUGUUGCGGUUAAAAAGCUCGUAGUUGGAUUUCUGCUGAGGACGACCGGUCCGCCCUCUGGGUGAGUAUCUGGCUUGGCCUUGGCAUCUUCUUCGAGAACGUAGCUGCACUUGACUGUGUGGUGCGGUAUCCAGGACUUUUACUUUUGAGGAAAUUAGAGUGUUUCAAGCAGGCACACGCCUUGAAUACAUUAGCAUGGAAUACUAAGAUAGGACCUUGGUUCUAUUUUGUUGGUUUCUAAAGCUGAGGUAAUGAUUAAUAGGGGAUAGUUGGGGGCCAUUCGUAUUUAGCUGUCAGAGGUGAAUUUCUUGGAUUUGUUAAAGACGGACUACUGCGAAAUCAUUUGCCAAGGAUGUUUUCAUUGAUCAAGAACGAAAGUUAGGGGAUCGAAGAUGAUCAGAU
rnacentral:rRNA from 1 species